ACUCUUUUUUUUCCCUCUCUACAUAGAACGAAAGAAACGCAUACUAUUCAAAUUCAAAUACUCAAUUCAUGAAUGGGUUGGUUUAUGCUCUGUGAAAGAGAUAGUUUCUUGAUUAGGGUUCUUUCGACUCGCUCCGUAACUCGUUCUUUUCGUUUUUGAUUUUUUGAUCAUGACGAAGGCUAAAGCUGAUUCCAAACCCGCUGAUUCCAGCUUAAGGGUGCAGGAACAUGAAGGAAACAGAUGAAAAGUCGCUAAGGGUUUUAAUUUGAUUUUCUUCAUUUUCAUGAGAGAGUGGUGGAGCUGAAUUAUAAUUUGUAGUUGCUCUGUUCUUGGAAUUUAGUUCCUUACUCAUUUCCAAGGUAUUUGGUAGUUUCUUGCUGCUUAAAAGAGCUACAGAAAUAAAGAAAGCUGGUAAAUGAAUGAUUGUUGAACUGAAUUCAACUGAGUAGGAUCCAUCUUUCAAUGGCUCCAAAAUGAAUAAAGGUUGAAAUUUUUGGGUCUUUCAGGACAGGGUUGUACCUUCCAACUAGUGAUAUUGAUGUCGUGAUUCUGAAAUCAGGCUUACCGAAUCCACAGAUUGGUUUGAAGGCAAUUUCUAGAUCAUUGUCAGAGAAGUAUGGAAAAAAGAUACAUGGUCUGGUCUGGUUACUCAAGUAUCAGUUUUUUGCUUGUGAAUGUUUCUCAGGUCAUUGGAAAGGCUCGGGUGCCAAUUAUUAAAUUCGUUGAAAAGAAGAGUGGUCUUUCCUUUGAUAUAAGUGGCUAAGUGGCAUCAACUGCGGCCGUUGUGUUUGAUUUUGAAAGUAUUUUUACAACAAAGAGAACUUAAUGAGUUUGCAGGUAUAUUCUGGUGGGAUUGGUUCGUAUGCUCUCCUUACCAUGCUGAUGGUGAUGUUACGGAAUGUUCGUCAGAGCCAACCUACUGCAGAGCACAACUUAGGGGUCCUUUUGGUACAUUUCUUUGAUGUUUAUGGACGUAAAUUAAAUACCUCAGAUGUUGGUGUAUCCUGCAUUGGAGAAGGCACCUUUUUCUGAAAGAGUAGUACAGGGUUUUACAACAAAGCA